GCUUCCCAGAAACUAUUUCCUUAGGAAUACAGCUUCCCAAAUCGCUUUAAAGACUUGCUUUCUUCUUGACUUUGGACCUCUCAUCCAUGUCGUCUGUUGUAUUCACUCUCACCUACCUGGGGGUUCAUCCACCAUCUCAUGUUGCUUCAUAUUCCAGGGCUCUUUUCCUUGCUCCAGACAGGUGAUCAGGUCUGGCUUAGAGAAAGCAAUACCUGUUUUAUUAAAAAUAACUAACACGAAUCUUGUUCAUAUUCUCCAAUUACCAACUUAGUAAUGCGCUCAGUAAAAAGGAUAUAAUAGAUUAUUCUAAUAAAUUUAUCCCAAUAUACUAAUUUAUAACAGAAAUUUUAAAAUAUUUAGAAAAUAUUUUAAUUUUGUAGGUUCUUAAUUUCAGUGCCUGGCACUACUGAAUAAAAAAUUGGUGAAGCAGACAGAUUUUAAGGUGUGAAUAACAAUAUUUUAUGCCACUAAGCUUCUGAAAUUACCACUAAUCUAAAAUGAAGGACACAGAUCAGCUCAGGAAUAUGGAAAGUUCAGGUCAAGAUGAAACAUCUUGAAGAAUUUUUUUCUAAACAGACAACUCCCAGGUUUUCUUGAUAACAGAAAUAUGAAAGCAUAAUUACCAGAAAACAUUCUACAAAGAGAAAUGAAAUUUUUAUUUUAUAUUGAGGAAUUUUGUAUUAAAGUUAUCGUCACCCAGGAAGGCCAGGUUUCUGUAGUUCUCUAACAUCAUAUUCCUAUAUAAAUUCUGCUGUGUAGAGUCCAGGCAUUGCCACUCCUCCAGAGAGAAUUCUAUGGCCACAUCCCUAAACGUCAACAGUCCCUGAAAAACACACACAAACACACAUAUUUACAAAGUGGCUAUGAAUAGAAUUUUUUAUUUGACACAAGGUAAAAUCAGAAAGUGAAUAGAACUGGUUCUGACUUAAAAGAAUGACUGAAAUUUUCCAAUAAAAUAAUUGUCAACACACAAACGUUUUCUAAUGUAUUCUCUAACUCUGAGAAAAGAGACUGGCAUAAUAUCCACAGCCUCAGUGUACAUAUGAUACUUGUCUGAAUGAUAAAGUGUAAAAUUGAGGGCAUAUCACUAACAUGUACAUUUUUGAAUGCUAUAUUUACAUAAU
rnacentral:antisense_RNA from 1 species